rnacentral:ncRNA from 1 species
UUUCCCUCUACCCGCAAGCGGUGGUCAUCCACAGGUAAGAGGUGCCAAAGGCACCCGCCACCGCCUUCCGCAAGGAAGAGGGUAGAGGAGGAGGA